GCUUACGGCCACACCGCCUGGUUCACGCUUGAUCUCGGAAGUUAAGAUAGGGUGGGCCAGGUUAGUACUUGGAUGGGAGACCGCCUGGGAAUACCAGGUGCUGUAUGCU
rnacentral:rRNA from 14 species